UAAGCUAUCGCGUUGGGAUGGGCCCAGUUAGGAUUAGCUAGUUGGUAAGGUAAUGGCUUACCAAGGCAACGAUCCUUAGCUGGUUUGAGAGGAUGAUCAGCCACACUGGGACUGAGACACGGCCCAGACUCCUACGGGAGGCAGCAGUGGGGAAUAUUGCACAAUGGGGGAGACCCUGAUGCAGCCAUGCCGCGUGUGUGAAGAAGGCCUUCGGGUUGUAAAGCACUUUCAGCAGUGAGGAAGGUCGUGUACUUAAUACGUGCACGGCUUGACGUUAGCUGCAGAAGAAGCACCGGCUAACUCCGUGCCAGCAGCCGCGGUAAUACGGAGGGUGCGAGCGUUAAUCGGAAUUACUGGGCGUAAAGCGCAUGCAGGCGGUUUGUUAAGUCAGAUGUGAAAGCCCGGGGCUCAACCUCGGAACCGCAUUUGAAACUGGCAGGCUAGAGUCUUGUAGAGGGGGGUAGAAUUUCAGGUGUAGCGGUGAAAUGCGUAGAGAUCUGAAGGAAUACCAGUGGCGAAGGCGGCCCCCUGGACAAAGACUGACGCUCAGAUGCGAAAGCGUGGGUAGCAAACAGGAUUAGAUACCCUGGUAGUCCACGCCGUAAACGCUGUCUACUUGGAGGUUGAGGUUUUAGACUUUGGCUUUCGGCGCUAACGCAUUAAGUAGACCGCCUGGGGAGUACGGCCGCAAGGUUAAAACUCAAAUGAAUUGACGGGGGCCCGCACAAGCGGUGGAGCAUGUGGUUUAAUUCGAUGCAACGCGAAGAACCUUACCUACUCUUGACAUCCAGCGAAGCCUUUAGAGAUAGAGGCGUGCCUUCGGGAGCGCUGAGACAGGUGCUGCAUGGCUGUCGUCAGCUCGUGUUGUGAAAUGUUGGGUUAAGUCCCGCAACGAGCGCAACCCUUAUCCUUGUUUGCCAGCACGUAAUGGUGGGAACUCCAGGGAGACUGCCGGUGAUAAACCGGAGGAAGGUGGGGACGACGUCAAGUCAUCAUGGCCCUUACGAGUAGGGCUACACACGUGCUACAAUGGCAGAUACAGAGGGCAGCGAGACAGCGAUGUUUAGCGAAUCCCUUAAAGUUUGUCGUAGUCCGGAUUGGAGUCUGCAACUCGACUCCAUGAAGUCGGAAUCGCUAGUAAUCGUGGAUCAGAAUGCCACGGUGAAUACGUUCCCGGGCCUUGUACACACCGCCCGUCACACCAUGGGAGUGGGCUGCACCAGAAGUAGAUAGCUUAACCUUCGGGAGGGCGUUUACCACGGUGUGGUUCAUGACUGGGGUGAAGUCGUAACAAGGUAGCCCUAGGGGAACCUGGGGCUGGAUCACCUCCUUA
rnacentral:rRNA from 1 species